rnacentral:rRNA from 1 species
GAUGAACGCUAGCUACAGGCUUAACACAUGCAAGUCGAGGGGCAGCAUGUCGGUUGCUUGCAACCGACGAUGGCGACCGGCGCACGGGUGAGUAACGCGUAUCCAACCUGCCUCUUACCAGGGAAUAACCCGUCGAAAGGCGGACUAAUGCCCUAUGCCCUCCGCGGCAGACAUCUAAUGCGGAGGAAAGAUCCAUCGGUAAGUGACGGGGAUGCGUCGGAUUAGCUUGUGGGCGGGGUAACGGCCCACCAAGGCAACGAUCAGUAGGGGUUCUGAGAGGAAGGUCCCCCACAGUGGAACUGAGACACGGUCCAAACUCCUACGGGAGGCAGCAGUGAGGAAUAUUGGUCAAUGGGCGGAAGCCUGAACCAGCCAAGUAGCGUGCAGGACGACUGCCCUAUGGGUUGUAAACUGCUUUUAUGCGGGGAUAAAUGACACUACGUGUAGUGUUUUGCAGGUACCGCAUGAAUAAGGACCGGCUAAUUCCGUGCCAGCCGCCGCGGUAAAAC